GGAGUUAGCCGGUGCUUCUUCUGCGAGUAACGUCACAGAUGUAAGGUAUUAACUUACACCCUUUCCUCCUCGCUGAAAGUGCUUUACAACCCGAAGGCCUUCUUCACACACGCGGCAUGGCUGCAUCAGGGUUUCCCCCAUUGUGCAAUAUUCCCCACUGCUGCCUCCCGUAGGAGUCUGGGCCGUGUCUCAGUCCCAGUGUGGCUGAUCAUCCUCUCAGACCAGCUAGGGAUCGUCGCCUAGGUGAGCCUUUACCUCACCUACUAGCUAAUCCCACCUGGGCUUAUCCAUCAGCGCAAGGCCCGAAGGUCCCCUGCUUUCCCCCGUAGGGCGUAUGCGGUAUUAGCAGUCGUUUCCAACUGUUAUCCCCCACAAAUGGGCAAAUUCCCAGGCAUUACUCACCCGUCCGCCGCUCGUCAUCUUCAAAAGCAAGCUUUUGAAAUGUUACCGCUCGACUUGCAUGUGUUAGGCCUGCCGCCAGCGUUCAUCUGAGCGAGAUACAACUACUGA
rnacentral:rRNA from 1 species